rnacentral:lncRNA from 1 species
GGAGGGCAGCUUUAGCUGCACUGGGAAGGCAGAUACUGCCUGCUUCCCGCCCUCCCCCAAGAGCAUAGGGUGACUCUGAUCCACAGCUGCAGUUUGGGAGGCUGUAGCCAAAGCAAUUGAUUACUUAAAACAGAAAGCAACACUCAGUUAAGAAAGGUAAAAUCCAAAACUCUUCAACAUAUUAUUCAUCAUGUACAAUAUACAAACAAAAUAGUAGCUAUUUAAGUAAAUAAGACUAGUACCAUGAGGUUAAGAGGAGAAGCAGUCUAUAGAAAAAGAUGUGAGAUGGCUCAGAUGUUGGAAAUAGCUGACAAGAACUUUAAAACAGCUAUUAUAAAUAUUCAAAGACCUAAGGAAAAUAUUGUCAUCAUAAAUAAAAAGAUAUAGAGAAUUUCAACAGAAUAUGGAAACUAUUUAAAUGAUCCAAGUUUAAAAGUCUAGAACUGAAAAUCGAAGGCUUUAAAAUAAAAUAAAACACCAUGGGAUAGGCUUACCAGCAGAUUGGAGAUGAUAGAAGAAAGUGUCCAUGCACUUGCAAACAAUUUUUCAGAAAUUAUCCAAUCUGGGCUGGGCGCAGUGCCUCACGCCUGUAAUCCCAGCACUCUGGAAGGCCGAGGCGGGCAGAUCAUGAGGUCAAGAGAUCAAGACCAUCCUCGCCGACAUGGUGAAACCCCGUCUCUACUAAGAAUACAAAAAUUAGCUGGGCGUGGUGACGCGCACCUGUAAUCCCAGCUACUCGGGAGGCUGAGGCAGGAGAAUCACUUGAACCCGGGAAGCAGAGGUUGUAGUGAGCCGAGAUCGCACAACUGCACUCCAGCCUGUCCAGCCUGGCGACAGAGUGAGACUCUGUCUAAAAAAAACAAAACAAAAAAACGUAGUGGAUUGAACUGAGUCUAAUUUUUAAUAUGUAUAACUGGUAAUCUUAACAGAGCAAAUUUUCCUCUAUUAGAAAAAUUAUAAAUCUUGACAUUUAAAUAAAAAUUGAUAUAAUAAUAAAUACCUCCAAAUCUCAGUAUGAAACUUUAAAAUCUACACUUACCAAAGGCUUGUGUAGCAUUUUAAAAAUGUGAAGCUUAUAUUUACUUUCUGUGCU